rnacentral:lncRNA from 1 species
AGCAAGCUUUCUAUCUUUCUCGGAUCGUAGAGUUGAGCGUUGAGUGUUCUUGCACGUUUUUGUUUUAAUAUUUGCUUAUCUUUCUCAUCUGUCUGUGUUCUGUAUAUAUGUGAUCUUAAAAUCUAUCCAUUGAAGCCUUUUGAAAAAGCAUUAAAUGCGUUUGACCUUUCUGAACUUUGAUGGAGACUUUUCUGCACAUCUUCUGAAUUUCACUCUGGCCCACUGACACAUCAGACUGCUUUCUCACCUAACACCUGAAAAGGUAUUUUUCUCUGCCCAAUGGUCCUUUUCUUAGCUUCUUGAAUACGUUCCUUUUGAUCAAUACUAAGGAUAUCUUUUGUAUCGUUGGGACUGGUGAGUGCUUCAACGUUCAAAACCCAUUCCUCAUUUGUUGGAAUUUAUCUUUAAACAAAAGUUAGGGCUUGAUGCUUCUGACACAAGGCAGAUGACACUCUACUAUCCAUAUCGUAGUGUCUUGUCAUAUUGAUGCUUGCUCUUAAGAGAACACUACGAUUUCUCGCAAGGAUUUGCACACUACGAUCUUUUCACUCGACGAUCAUCACUUACUCGUCUUAUAGACUCAACGUUUCUGAGG